GACGAACGCUGGCGGCGUGCCUAAUACAUGCAAGUCGAACGCAGUGGGGACGGGUGAGUAACACGUGGGUAACCUCCCAUCAGAGGGGAUAACACUUGGAAACAGGUGCUCAACCGAUACUGCUGGAUGGGACCGCGGUGCAUGAGCUAGUUUGUGAGGUAACGGCUCACCAAGGCCACGAUCCAUAGCCGACCUGAUAGUGUGAUCGGCCACACUGGGACUGAGACACGGGCCAGACUCCUACGGGAGGAAGCAGUAGGGACUCUACGGCAAUGGACGAAAGUCUGACCGAGCAACGCCGCGUGAGAGAAGAAGGUUUUCGGUUCGUAAAACUCUGUUGUUAGAGAAGCGGUAUCUAACCAGAAAGCCACGGCUAACUACGUGCCAUCAGCCGCGGUAAUAC
rnacentral:rRNA from 1 species